GGUGUGACUGCGUACCUUUUGUAUAAUGGGUCAGCGACUUAUAUUCUGUAGCAAGGUUAACCGAAUAGGGGAGCCGGAGGGAAACCGAGUCUUAAUUGGGCGUUAAGUUGCAGGGUAUAGACCCGAAACCCGGUGAUCUAGCCAUGGGCAGGUUGAAGGUUGGGUAACACUAACUGGAGGACCGAACCGACUAAUGUUGAAAAAUUAGCGGAUGACCUGUGGCUGGGGGUGAAAGGCCAAUCAAACCGGGAGAUAGCUGGUUCUCCCCGAAAGCUAUUUAGGUAGCGCCUCGUGAAUUCAUCUCCGGGGGUAGAGCACUGUUUCGGCUAGGGGGCCAUCCCGGCUUACCAACCCGAUGCAAACUGCGAAUACCGGAGAAUGUUAUCACGGGAGACACACGGCGGGUGCUAACGUCCGUCGUGAAGAGGGAAACAACCCAGACCGCCAGCUAAGGUCCCAAAGUCAUGGUUAAGUGGGAAACGAUGUGGGAAGGCCCAGACAGCCAGGAUGUUGGCUUAGAAGCAGCCAUCAUUUAAAGAAAGCGUAAUAGCUCACUGGUCGAGUCGGCCUGCGCGGAAGAUGUAACGGGGCUAAACCAUGCACCGAAGCUGCGGCAGCGACGCUGAUGCGUUGUUGGGUAGGGGAGCGUUCUGUAAGCCUGCGAAGGUGACCUGUGAGGGUUGCUGGAGGUAUCAGAAGUGCGAAUGCUGACAUAAGUAACGAUAAAGCGGGUGAAAAGCCCGCUCGCCGGAAGACCAAGGGUUCCUGUCCAACGUUAAUCGGGGCAGGGUGAGUCGACCCCUAAGGCGAGGCCGAAAGGCGUAGUCGAUGGGAAACGGGUUAAUAUUCCCGUACUUGGUGUUACUGCGAAGGGGGGACGGAGAAGGCUAUGUUGGCCGGGCGACGGUUGUCCCGGUUUAAGCGUGUAGGUGUGUGUUCCAGGUAAAUCCGGUUCACUUUAACACUGAGGCGUGAUGACGAGGCACUACGGUGCUGAAGCAACAAAUGCCCUGCUUCCAGGAAAAGCCUCUAAGCAUCAGGUAACAUCAAAUCGUACCCCAAACCGACACAGGUGGUCAGGUAGAGAAUACCAAGGCGCUUGAGAGAACUCGGGUGAAGGAACUAGGCAAAAUGGUGCCGUAACUUCGGGAGAAGGCACGCUGACACGUAGGUGAAGUGAUUUACUCACGGAGCUGAAGUCAGUCGAAGAUACCAGCUGGCUGCAACUGUUUAUUAAAAACACAGCACUGUGCAAACACGAAAGUGGACGUAUACGGUGUGACGCCUGCCCGGUGCCGGAAGGUUAAUUGAUGGGGUCAGCGCAAGCGAAGCUCCUGAUCGAAGCCCCGGUAAACGGCGGCCGUAACUAUAACGGUCCUAAGGUAGCGAAAUUCCUUGUCGGGUAAGUUCCGACCUGCACGAAUGGCGUAAUGAUGGCCAGGCUGUCUCCACCCGAGACUCAGUGAAAUUGAACUCGCUGUGAAGAUGCAGUGUACCCGCGGCAAGACGGAAAGACCCCGUGAACCUUUACUAUAGCUUGACACUGAACAUUGAGCCUUGAUGUGUAGGAUAGGUGGGAGGCUUUGAAGUGUGGACGCCAGUCUGCAUGGAGCCGACCUUGAAAUACCACCCUUUAAUGUUUGAUGUUCUAACGUGGACCCGUAAUCCGGGUUGCGGACAGUGUCUGGUGGGUAGUUUGACUGGGGCGGUCUCCUCCUAAAGAGUAACGGAGGAGCACGAAGGUUGGCUAAUCCUGGUCGGACAUCAGGAGGUUAGUGCAAUGGCAUAAGCCAGCUUGACUGCGAGCGUGACGGCGCGAGCAGGUGCGAAAGCAGGUCAUAGUGAUCCGGUGGUUCUGAAUGGAAGGGCCAUCGCUCAACGGAUAAAAGGUACUCCGGGGAUAACAGGCUGAUACCGCCCAAGAGUUCAUAUCGACGGCGGUGUUUGGCACCUCGAUGUCGGCUCAUCACAUCCUGGGGCUGAAGUAGGUCCCAAGGGUAUGGCUGUUCGCCAUUUAAAGUGGUACGCGAGCUGGGUUUAGAACGUCGUGAGACAGUUCGGUCCCUAUCUGCCGUGGGCGCUGGAGAACUGAGGGGGGCUGCUCCUAGUACGAGAGGACCGGAGUGGACGCAUCACUGGUGUUCGGGUUGUCAUGCCAAUGGCACUGCCCGGUAGCUAAAUGCGGAAGAGAUAAGUGCUGAAAGCAUCUAAGCACGAAACUUGCCCCGAGAUGAGUUCUCCCUGAGACUUAGAGUCUCCUGAAGGAACGUUGAAGACGACGACGUUGAUAGGCCGGGUGUGUAAGCGCAGCGAUGCGUUGAGCUAACCGGUACUAAUGAACCGUGAGGCUUAACCUUACAACGCCGAAGAUGUUUUGGCGGAUGA
rnacentral:rRNA from 1 species